rnacentral:rRNA from 1 species
GAUGAACGCUGGCGGCGUGCCUAAUACAUGCAAGUCGAGCGAACGGACGAGAAGCUUGCUUCUCUGAUGUUAGCGGCGGACGGGUGAGUAACACGUGGAUAACCUACCUAUAAGACUGGGAUAACUUCGGGAAACCGGAGCUAAUACCGGAUAAUAUUUUGAACCGCAUGGUUCAAAAGUGAAAGACGGUCUUGCUGUCACUUAUAGAUGGAUCCGCGCUGCAUUAGCUAGUUGGUAAGGUAACGGCUUACCAAGGCAACGAUGCAUAGCCGACCUGAGAGGGUGAUAGGCCACACUGGAACUGAGACACGGUCCAGACUACUACGGGAGGCAGCAGUAGGGAAUCUUCCGCAAUGGGCGAAAGCAUGACGGAGCAACGCCGCGUGAGUGAUGAAGGUCUUCGGAUCGUAAAACUCUGUUAUUAGGGAAGAACAUAUGUGUAAGUAACUGUGCACAUCUUGACGGUACCUAAUCAGAAAGCCACGGCUAACUACGUG